rnacentral:rRNA from 1 species
UCAGUUCGGAUUGCAGGCUGCAACUCGCCUGUAUGAAGUCGGAAUUGCUAGUAAUCGCGGAUCAGCAUGCCGCGGUGAAUACGUUCCCGGGUCUUGUACACACCGCCCGUCACACCAUGGGAGCUGGUAACACCCGAAGUCAGUAGUCUAACCGCAAGGAGGACGCUGCCGAAGGUGGGAUUAGCGACUGGGGUGAAGUCGUAACAAGGUAGC